rnacentral:rRNA from 1 species
GACGAUCGCUGGCGGCGUGCCUAAUACAUGCAAGUCGAACGCAGUGGGGACGGGUGAGUAACACGUGGGUAACCUCCCAUCAGAGGGGAUAACACUUGGAAACAGGUGCUAAACCGAUACUGCUGGAUGGACCCGCGGUGCAUUUGCUAGUUGGAGAGGUAACGGCUCACCAAGGCAACGAUGCAUAGCGGUACGGAGAGGGUGAUCGGCCACACUGGGACUGAGACACGGCCCAGACUCCUACGUGAGGAAGCAGGAGGGAAUAUUCGGCAAGGUACGAAACUCUGACCGAGCAACGCGGCGUGACUGAAGAAGGUUUUCGAAUCGUAAAACUCUUUUGUUAGAGAAGCGGUAUCUAAACAGAAAGCCACGGCUAACUACGUGCCAGCAGCCGCGGUAAUUC